rnacentral:tRNA from 1 species
GCCCGUGUGGGGUAGUUUGGAUAUCCUAGAAGGCUGCGGACCUUCAGACCUGGGUUCAAAUCCCAGCACGGGCG